CCCUUAGAUGUUCUGGGCCGCACGCGUGCUACACUGAGUGGAUCAGCGGGUCAGGUUGCGCGAAAGUGUUUCCUAAUCUUUAAAUCCGCUCGUGAUGGGGAUUGACGGUUGCAAUUUUCCGUCAUGAACGAGGAAUACCUUGUAAGCGCGGGUCAUCAUCCCGCGCUGAAUACGUCCCUGCCCUUUGUACACACCGCCCGUCGCUCCUACCGAUUGAGUGGUCCGGUGAGGCUUUGGGAUCUGAGCGGAAAGAGCGUUUCGCUGUUUCUGCUCGGAAAACUCAGUCGAACCUUAUCAUUUAGCGGAAGGAGAAGUCGUAACA
rnacentral:rRNA from 1 species